CACGGAGUUAGCCGAUCCUUAUUCCUUCGGUACAUUCAGCUCGCUACACGUAACGAGGUUUAUUCCCGAAUAAAAGCAGUUUACGACCCAGAGGGCUGUCUUCCUGCACGCGGCAUGGCUGGUUCAGAGUUGCCUCCAUUGACCAAUAUUCCUUACUGCUGCCUCCCGUAGGAGUCUGGUCCGUGUCUCAGUACCAGUGUGGGGGGUUCAUCCUCUCAGAUCCCCUAGACAUCGUGGUCUUGGUGGGCCGUUACCCCGCCAACUAACUAAUGUCACGCAUGCCCAUCUUGAUCCUAUAAACUAUUUGAACAUUGUACAAUGCUGUACUGUGUUUUUAUGCGGUGUUAAUCCGAAUUUCUUCGGGCUAUCCCCCUGAUCAAGGUAGGUUGCAUACGCGUUACGCACCCGUGCGCCACUUUUCGUUAUCAGCAAGCUGAUAACUAUCGUUCGACUUGCAUGUAUUAGGCCUGCCGCUAGCGUUCAUCCUGAGCCAGGAU
rnacentral:rRNA from 1 species